GUGGAUUAGAUACCCUGGUAGUCCACGCCCUAAACGAUGCGAACUGGAUGUUGGGUGCAAUUUGGCACUCAGUAUCGAAGCUAACGCGUUAAGUUCGCCGCCUGGGGAGUACGGUCGCAAGACUGAAACUCAAAGGAAUUGACGGGGGCCCGCACAAGCGGUGGAGUAUGUGGUUUAAUUCGAUGCAACGCGAAGAACCUUACCUGGCCUUGACAUGUCGCGAACUUUCCAGAGAUGGAUUGGUGCCUUCGGGAACGCGAACACAGGUGCUGCACGGCUGUCGACAACU
rnacentral:rRNA from 1 species